rnacentral:lncRNA from 1 species
CCCCAUUGCCCCCCAUACCCUGUUGGCUGCUGUCCUUCUCAUCACCAUCAUCCUCCAAGCUCGAGCUCUCGUCCCCUCCCCGAGGACGCUUCCCCGACGCGUGGAGGUGGCCUUCAGUCGACGUCCCUUCUCCUGGCUGUCCCACCUUUUGUCCCCUUCGUCCCGUCCCAUCUCCUGGGGGUGGUGACAUCCCCGAUUCGUGUUGUCCCAUCCCUUCCUCUUGGCUCUGUGCCUCACAUCCUCCACAUUCUGUCCCCAACCCACGGUGACCCGUCCUUUGUCCCCGCAUCCCUCGGUGUCCUUGACCCGACCUUGGACUCGGGUGCAAAAUCUCACACCUUCCGCGCCCCGGGCUUUGCUGAUCUCCUCCUCGGCCGCAGGGCAACGUCCCAUGUUGACACCACAGCUGCCUCCAUGGAGAUCCACCACCGCCUUCACCUCCUGACCCACGUCUUUUUUGAGCUGUCCCAUGGCCUCCUUGACUUGGCCGAUGUCCUCCUCGACCCCCUGAAGAUCCACCAUCUUCAUCCUUUUUUCCACGUCCUCCUUGACCUUGCUCAUCUUCUCCAUCUUUUCCACGUCCUCCUUGACCUCCUGGUUUUUUCCCUGAAGAUCCACCAUCUUCACCCUUUUUUCCAUGUCCUCCUUGACUUUGCUCAUCUUCUCCAUCUUUUCCUCCUUGACCUCCUGGUUGACUCCCUGAAGAUUCACCAUCUUCACCCUUUUUUCCUUGACCUUGCUCAUGUUCUCCAUCUUUUCCACGUCCUCCUUGACCUCCUGGUUGACUCCAUGGAGAUCCACCAUCUUCACCAUCUUUUCCAUGUCCUCCUUGACCUCCUGGUUGACCCCCUGAAGAUCCACCACCUUCACCCUCUUUUCCACGUCCUUGACCUGUCCCCAACCCGUGGUGACCCAUCCAUUGUCCCCAUUGCUCCAUCCCCACCCCACGAUGCCACUCCCCCUCUCCCUCCGGUUGUCCUCCCCCGUAUCCUCGAGGCCACAACCCAAAUUCUUGGGGUUCAUCCUUCUCUUCUUCGGGAGCCGUCAUCGACCCGGGUCGCGUCCCCAUUUUUGGUGGUGUCCCCAACCAGGCGGAUGUCACCGACCCGGGGGGUUUCCCUAAUUUGGGGUCCUCUUUUGCUGUCCCCGUGGUGUUUUGGGGGUACAUGAAGUGUUCGAGGAUGGGGGUAAAGAAAUUCAUCCAGGACUUCUCCUCCGAGAUGGGCGCAGGGGACGCUGUGGGGAGGUGACAAUGACAAUGGCAGGGGGAGGACACAGGGACAGCACCCCACGUCCCGUUGCGCUCACACAAAAUCCCAAAGACCCCGCGUCCCCCACGCACCCCCACGUCCCUCUCUGUCCUCCCCAUGUCCCCCAAUGUCCCCAAAUGUCCCCCAAUGUCCCCCCCCACCCCCCUCCUCCCCCACACCCCCC